GCGUUGUUCGGAUUCGUUGUGCGUAAAGGGUGCGUAGGUGGCGGGGUAAGUCAGGUGUGAAAUUUCGGAGCUUAACUCCGAAACUGCAUUUGAUACUGCCUUGCUUGAGGACUGGAGAGGAGACUGGAAUUCACGGUGUAGCAGUGAGAAGCGUAGAGAUCGUGAGGAAGACCAGUGGCGAAGGCGAGUCUCUGGACAGUUCCUGACACUGAGGCCCGAAGGCCAG
rnacentral:rRNA from 1 species